GAUGAACGCUGGCGGUAUGCUUUACACAUGCAAGUCGUACGAGAGUUUUUAACUCAAGUGGCGGACGGGUGAGUAACACGUAAGAAUUUGCCUUUAGGAGGGGGAUAACAACUGGAAACGGUUGCUAAUACCCCAUAUGCUUUCGAGUGAAAUAGAUUUUUCUGCCUAAAGAGAAGCUUGCGGCUGAUUAGCUUGUUGGUAGGGUAAUGGCCUACCAAGGCGACGAUCAGUAUCUGGUUUGAGAGGACGAUCAGACACACUGGAACUGAGACACGGUCCAGACUCCUACGGGAGGCAGCAGUGGGGAAUUUUCCGCAAUGGGCGAAAGCCUGACGGAGCAAUACCGCGUGAGGGAUGACGGCCUAUGGGUUGUAAACCUCUUUUUUCAGGGAGGAAUAAAAUGACUUGUACCUGAAGAAUAAGCAUCGGCUAACUCCGUGCCAGCAGCCGCGGUAAGACGGAGGAUGCAAGUGUUAUCCGGAAUCACUGGGCGUAAAGCGUCUGUAGGUGGUCAAAUAAGUCAACUGUUAAAUCUUGAGGCUCAACCUCAAAAUCGCAGUCGAAACUAUUAG
rnacentral:rRNA from 1 species